AUUUUCAUUUCAAUUUCAGCUUGCAACUUGCUUGUGGAAGCGAUGUAAAUCUGAAAUCGUAGAAUCCACCGUCAACUCUCUGUUCAAUCGCCGCCCCCGUAAACUCUGUUCAACCGCCGCCACCAUCAACUCUCUGUUCAAUCGCCGCCACACAACUCGACUCUUUCUUUCUAAGAAAUGCUGUGGAGCUUGGACCUUUUGGACCUUUGGCUGUUACUCUCAUGAAAAUGCCUCGUUUGAGUUUUUGUCGUGUUGAUGAAUUAGCUUUUGCAGUUAAUAAGCAUGAUCUUGGGAAUUACAGGCCUUUAAUAACUCUCUAUAAGGAUUGGGGUCAAAGUAACUUUGGUUUUGUACCAUACACCAAAGGCUUCGUUUUCUGAUUGGGAUGAUGAACAUGGCAGCCACAUAUUCACUACUCAGGAUCUUCCUUUCUUUGUAUGCUCUAUGGUUCUGUGCUAUCAUUUAUAAUUUUUAAAUAGUAAAUACAGUUAUUUUGAAUAGAAUUGCCAUGUAUUUAGUUCUAUCUUAUUUUGUGACUUUGCAAACUUAUAUCAAUUGGAGGGAUGAUACAAUUUUCCACCUAGAUCACUUGACAUAUUAGCCUGAUGUCUAGCUUAGAAAUGAUGUUUCGAUCGUUUAGAUGUUUAUUUAUCUCGAGUUAUGUAUGUGUCUCUUUCUCUCAUUUGAUACAAUUUAUAGUUCUUUUUUUUUUGUUUAUGUGACAUCUGCUGCCCCAUCUUUUUCUGUCAUAUUUCAUUUUACGUCUCUUGUAACUGAGAUACUAUAUUAAUUUUUUAUUGACUUGAAUGUUUCUAUCUUAAACUGGUGAAUUCCAAUGAGUGGCACUUAGAUACUUCAGUUGCAGCUGGUGGGAGGUCAAAAGUAUUGCAACUUGUGGUGUAUAUUACUCCAGCUCUCCUUAAUUAAUUUACUUGUUAACAUCUAAAAGCUUAGAUUCAAUUUAUAUAUUUUUGCUAUGGCUUUAUGACAUAUAAGUGACUCAGUAUUGAACUUCAGCUCUCUUAAAUUUAUUUACUCGUUGGCAUCUAAAAGCUUAGAUUUAAUUUAUCUAUUUUUGCACCAGCUUUAUGACAUAAAGUUAUGCAUUAUUGGCAACUGGUGUGAUCUCUAUGUAAGUACAGUAUAUAAGUGUUGAAUACGGAUCAGGAGAGAUCAAUUUAAGUACUGUAACAAAGGUCAAGAAAGGAAAGGGAACUUCUGGUGUAUCUGCUACCAACGGUCUAGAUCUUCAUCGUGCCGUGAGGACUGGUUUACCUGAAUCAUUAUCCUGUCAACACGUGUUGUCAUCGAGAAGUCAAGCCAUAGUGGUUCCUUCUCCCGAAUGUCAAAGUCCAGUUGAAUUGGUACAGUCUUAGUAGAGCAUUGUUUCAUAUUAAUAAUCAUCUAAUUAGAAUUUGCACGAUAAAAUUUCCCCUUCUCUGAUUUACAGUGAUAGGAAAGAAGCACUUUUAGGUGGUACAUAUCUAAGUUCUAUCUUUUUGAGUCUUCUGCAUCACCAAUAUAUUAUUCAUUGAGUCGAAAUGCCGACUUAAUUUUUUAGGUUGCUGAAGGUAGAAGGUGCAUUAUCUUAUCAGCUGAAGGAGUUCUUCUCUUGGACUUUUAGAAAUCAUACUUUCUAUUUUCAAUGUUUUGCUAAUUCUAAGUUAACAUGUUAUUUAACUACACAGAUGCAGUUCAGAAUACACUUAAACUUAACAUGAAAAUCCAAGUAGGGGAGCUAGACGGAGUCAAGACAGUGAUCACAGUCAACUUCAGCCUUCACCUUUGCGAGUUUCGGUAAUUGGUUUAAUUAAAUGGCUACGCUGUUUCUGCACGAGAUGGGUUAUUAUCUCACAACUUAAACUGUUCAUGAGAUGUCAGUGGACUUGAAUCGUGGAGAGACUCUUCCGAUUCAUAUAAAUAUGACAUUCCCUUCUUUACCUUGUGAUGUUUUGAGUGUGGAUGCUAUUGAUAUGUCGGGCAAGCAUGAGGUGGAUCUUGAUACUAACAUAUGGAAAGAAGAGUUAAAGAAGCACAUGGUAGAGGAGGCGGGUAGCUCACAUAAUUCUCAAGCCAUCAAAGAUUCUACAAGCUGAAAGAAUGAUACUUAUUCAAAGGUUAAAGGGCCCGAAAAGAGAGGACAGGUGCGUUGUCCUGGCAAGCUUCUCUGACAUGCCAGUUUUAGCUCCACUGCUGAUAAUAGAGUUGCAACAUUAGAGAAUUUGCUUGGAAAUCUAAUUUCUAUUCUUCAAGUGCGGUUUUCUGAAGAUCGACAAGUUAACGAGGUCUUACGAGUUAUAACCGAAGAGGUUUGAUUUUGUGUCACCUAUUGACCAUAAUCUGGUGAAGUUCAUCUCAAGAUACUCUUCACCUCCCUUUGCUAUACAGAUGUUUACAUGAAAGUGAAGAUACAAGAAUAUUAAAAUAAAAACAUAUGUGAUUUCUUUUGUAAGAUUUUAAGUAUAUUGAAUGAAACUUUCUAUGUUGAAAUAUUUGAAUUUAAUGUAAAAUGGGAUAAUUUUUUCAUUUUAA